UUUUAAUAGUAAACUUAGAUUUGUUGUACACUAGGGCAUUAUUAAGAGUAUGUUUAAUGACAUAUGUACAUUAAAUAGGUAUAGAAUGGUUUCAUAAAGAAAUACAUAAAGGUUGACACAGUACCAGAUAAGUUAAAACUACAGUGUAACCAAACAGCUUUUUUGUCACCUAAACCUAAGCAUGUUGUUAAAGUUUUUUCACCAUGCAUAAAGUGCAUUUUGUUUGAUUAAAAACAUGUAAUGAUAUGAAUACAUUUAAUGAUUGCUUAUUUGAAAAACUGUAUCUGUGUUAGGCAUUUAUUAUGAAAUAAACUUGCUUUGACACA
rnacentral:misc_RNA from 1 species